rnacentral:rRNA from 1 species
CACGCAGGCGGGGAGACAAGUCAGAUGUGAAAACCCAUAGCUUAACUCUGGGCCUGCAUUUGAUACUGUUUCUCUUGAGUACGGGAGAGGAUGGCGGAAUUCUUGGUGUAGCGGUGAAAUGCGUAGAUAUCAAGAAGAACACCGGUGGCGAAGGCGGCCAUCUGGCCCGAUACUGACGCUCAUGUGCGAAGGCAAGGGGAGUAAACA